rnacentral:rRNA from 1 species
CCUACGGGGGGCAGCAGUGGGGAAUAUUGGACAAUGGGCGAAAGCCUGAUCCAGCCAUGCCGCGUGUGUGAAGAAGGCCUUCGGGUUGUAAAGCACUUUCAGUGGGGAAGAAAGCCUUGGGGCUAAUACCCUCGAGGAAGGACAUCACCCACAGAAGAAGCACCGGCUAACUCCGUGCCAGCAGCCGCGGUAAUACGGAGGGUGCGAGCGUUAAUCGGAAUUACUGGGCGUAAAGCGCGCGUAGGCGGUCUGAUAAGCCGGUUGUGAAAGCCCCGGGCUCAACAUGGGAACGGCAUCCGGAACUGUCAGGCUAGAGUGCAGGAGAGGAAGGUAGAAUUCCCGGUGUAGCGGUGAAAUGCGUAGAGAUCGGGAGGAAUACCAGUGGCGAAGGCGGCCUUCUGGACUGACACUGACGCUGAGGUGCGAAAGCGUGGGUAGCAAACAGGAUUAGAUACCCCUGUAGUC